rnacentral:rRNA from 1 species
AUGCUCCAGUUCCUGAGGACCGUCCCUGUCCGGCACCGCGUGGCGACCCGGAUCCGGGAGCUCAAGGACCGGGUGCGUGAGGUGGGCAAGAGGCGACAGAGGUACGGCGUCACCGUGCCUUCUGUCGCCGCCGAGCAAGGCCCAGCCGGUGGCGCGUUGACACUCAUCGACGACGUGGAGCAGCUGCAGACAUCACUUGCAUCUGCUGGGGACAUCUGGGGGCGCUCUUUGCUCGAGCUCGAGCUAGACCUAGACGGUGAGGCUCUCUUCAACCAAGGCAUCCAACAUGUCAUCGAAGAGCACAUACACAACCAAUACAUUGGCGAGCCUACAUGUCCACAUGUCCUUCAGAUCUUAUGGGACAACAAAACAAUGUGGGACAAGCCAUUUGUGGAUCGUUUUGCUUUGGAAAUUUACCACCGUUGCUCCAGGUCCGCCUUAUUCGAGUGGAAGGCUAGGGUACCUGCCAUGUACAUUGACAGUGACCGUUACAUUCACAACUGGUACGGCGACGGCGAGAUAGUGACAGAUCUUCAGCAACAUAUUAUGAGACAAAUACCAGCAAUGAUAUCUUCAGCUGCUGACAUCCAGACGUAUCUGAGAAGAAAACGGGUCUUGAUCCUUCUUGAAAGCACCCACAAGACUCAUGACACAUACCACAAAACAAUCAAGGAGCUUAUAGGUGAUGAUGACAGUGAUGACUAUGGUUUUCGACGUGAUAGAUCCAUAAUAAUCAUCACCGCUGACGUCACCUAUUCUUCUCAUAAUUACACAAGAGUUUACCCUCCACGUGCUAUAUACAAGGCCUUCUACGAUAAAGCCAAGGAGCUUACACAUGAGGGUGUACACUGCAACCAUCAGUAUGUCGAAGAGAUUUUGGACAAAUGUUACCCCCGUGCCUUUACGAUGAAGAUGUUCAUGCAUCUUCUCCAGGCAAAUCCCCAAAGGACGGAUAAUGAGCUUCAAAACAUCAUGGGGAGCAUAUCAAGUUGUAUAAGGCUCAACAAAAGUGUCCCUAAGCAAAUGCUCAUGUGGUGCUACAAUGACCUGCCUAGCAAAUACAAGAGUUGCUUGAUGUAUCUAUCCAUUUUCCCCAAAGAUCGCACCAUCACAAGGACAAUCCUGGUUAGAAGAUGGAUUGCUGAGGGCCUCAUAAACCCUACAAGAGAGUACUACACUACCCAAGGUCAGUUGGAUAAUGCAACAACACUAGAGGUUGUAGCCAAGCACCAUUUCGAGAUGCUCGUCGCUCGAGGGUUCAUUCGUCCUGCUGAUAUCAGUGAUGCAUGCAACAUCAAGACAUGCACAUUAUAUCAUGAAGCUUCCGAGUUCAUCGCCAGGAUUGCCAUAGAUGUCAACUUUGUGGACACAGAUUUGCCACAAAGUUUUGCACAACACCUUUCCAUCCAUAACAAAAUACCACUACAAGCAUGUCAUCCUCCUAUGGAAGUUGCCAAUGAUAUAGUAGCAUCUCUUCCAUAUUUGGCCAAGUCAUCUCAGUGGAAGCUCUUGAAGGUGAUGGAUCUAGAGGGUUGCAGAGGGUUGAAGAAGAAACAUCUUAAGAUUAUUUGUAAGAUAAUACUGCUCAGAUAUUUCAGCCUCGGGAAUACAGAUGUCACUGAACUUCCAAAGCAAAUAGAGAUGCUAACAUGCUUGGAGACAUUGGACAUCCGGCAAACUACAGUAAGGGCGUUCGCCACAAAGUCUAUUAUGCUUCCAAUGCUAAAGCAUAUGCUUGCUGGGGAGAGUCAGACAUGCCCUCCUCCUUCAAACAACAACCCUGAGAGGUUUCAAGAGUCAUUUGUGGGGGUGCGCCUUCCCAAUGGCGUCCAAAGAAUGGAAAAACUGGAGAUGUUGUCUCAUGUUGAUGUUUCCCACAGUGUUGAUGAUAUGAUCAGCAUCGGACAACUGCUGCGACUAAGGAAACUAGGUGUGAUCCUCGAUAGGAAGAAUAGAGAUGGCUUGUUGGAUCUUUUGUUCCAACAGAUUGAGAAGUUGCAUGGUUGCCUCCGUUCCUUGUCAAUCCAGGUCAACCAUCCGGUUACAAGUGACGGUGUUAUUAUUCAUGAUGAUGCAGACGAGGUGCAUGCAUUGGGCUCGCCUCCGAAACUCCUUCGGAGCCUAAACAUCAGAGGCAUCAGAAAUGGGCUCCUUGGCUGGAUCGCAGAGCUCGAUAAGCUCGUCAAGUUAACACUGAGCGAAACUUACCUUGGGGAAGAUGCUCUAGGCAUCAUUGGCAAUCUUGGAGUUCUAGCUUGUCUCAGGCUUCUGCACAAGUCGUACAACGGAAGCAAGCUCCACAUCAAGAAUGGAGAGUUCAUUAGCCUCAAGUCUUUGAUCGUCCGAGGCAACGACAUCACCAGCAUUCACUUUAACGAAGGUGCAUCACCUAAGCUUGAGAUGUUUGUGUGGUCUUUUGCCAGAAUGGAGGCCAUGGAUGGACUCGAUGAGCUUUACUAUUUGAAGAAGGUUGAGCUCUAUGGUGACUGCAACCCACAGCCCCUGCGAGACCAGAUGUGGAGGAGGUUGUAUUUCCAGUACCUGCAAGAUCAGAUGUGGAGGAGGUUGGAUUUCAAGCACAACGGACAGCAAAUGUUAGUGCAAAGAGACUAUGAAGAUGUGGUUGCUGUUUGA